rnacentral:lncRNA from 1 species
CAUACUUUAUAGACGUACGUUUAAAGUUACAAAUUUUUUGACUGUGUGGGGACUGUUUUUUGUAAUUAAAAGAAAUAAAUAUUAAACGCAGGAGCUAUGAUGUCUUUCCUGUGUAUAUUUCUUCUUAUUGUGGAGACAGGGAUAAAAGGAGUACUUGCUAAUGCGGACGAUGGCUGUGAUAGUGCUGUGAAAAGUCAAGGCGGGAUCGCUGUAUUGUUUGGUGUCGUCUGCUGUUACCUGUGGAAAAGCUGGCUGACAAGAAAUUCACUUCAACAAAUAAAAUAACCAAGAUGAAAAACAAUCGUACUGACUGUUUGAAGCAUAAAAUAUCUGUGUUAUGAUACUGAAUCAAACAUAUAUUCAAAAUUAAAAAUAUACUGUUAUCUUUAUUGUAUUUUCAACAAAUAUUGAAGAGUAAAUUGAUGUGAGGCGGUG